UACGUAGGGCGCAAGCGUUGUCCGGAAUUAUUGGGCGUAAAGAGCUCGUAGGCGGCUUGUCACGUCGGGUGUGAAAGCCCGGGGCUUAACCCCGGGUCUGCAUUCGAUACGGGCUGGCUAGAGUGUGGUAGGGGAGACUGGAAUUCCUGGUGUAGCGGUGAAAUGCGCAGAUAUCAGGAGGAACACCGAUGGCGAAGGCAGGUCUCUGGGCCACUACUGACGCUGAGAAGCGAAAGCGUGGGGAGCGAACAGG
rnacentral:rRNA from 1 species